GCCAUACUCGUAAAACAUGAUACAAAGAAAUUCAGAACCAUUCUCUUCAGUGGUUUCAAUAUGAUAUUGAUUAUCUUGAAUGUCUCUAAAACUCAUCAAUGUUCUUCCGGAACGUGGAGAAUAAAACGCCUUUUUAAUGGUUAAGACAAUACCAUUAGACUGUACAGGCCUUUUCGUUUCCUUCAAUCAGGUUGGAUAAGCCUGAGAGGGUUGUCAGAUGUGCUUUCUUAGGUACAAAGUUAGUAAAUAGUGUCACUCACGCAAUAUGGUGUGCAUAGUAGCACUAUCAGCCAGACAACUA
rnacentral:lncRNA from 1 species